GGGAAGGUGGCUCAGUGGUAGAGUGCUUGCCUUGCAUGCAUGAGGUCCUGGCUUCCAUUCCU
rnacentral:tRNA from 1 species